rnacentral:rRNA from 1 species
CCUCUAAGCAUCAGGUAACAUCAAAUCGUACCCCAAACCGACACAGGUGGUCAGGUAGAGAAUACCAAGGCGCUUGAGAGAACUCGGGUGAAGGAACUAGGCAAAAUGGUGCCGUAACUUCGGGAGAAGGCACGCUGGUGUGUAGGUGAAGUCCCUGCGGAUGGAGCUGAGACCAGUCGAAGAUACCAGCUGGCUGCAACUGUUUAUUAAAAACACAGCACUGUGCAAACACGAAAGUGGACGUAUACGGUGUGACGCCUGCCCGGUGCCGGAAGGUUAAUUGAUGGGGUUAUCCGUAAGGAGAAGCUCUUGAUCGAAGCCCCGGUAAACGGCGGCCGUAACUAUAACGGUCCUAAGGUAGCGAAAUUCCUUGUCGGGUAAGUUCCGACCUGCACGAAUGGCGUAAUGAUGGCCAGGCUGUCUCCACCCGAGACUCAGUGAAAUUGAACUCGCUGUGAAGAUGCAGUGUACCCGCGGCAAGACGGAAAGACCCCGUGAACCUUUACUAUAGCUUGACACUGAACAUUGAGCCUUGAUGUGUAGGAUAGGUGGGAGGCUUUGAAGCGUGGACGCCAGUCUGCGUGGAGCCAACCUUGAAAUACCACCCUUUAAUGUUUGAUGUUCUAACGUUGGCCCCUGACCGGGGUUGCGGACAGUGUCUGGUGGGUAGUUUGACUGGGGCGGUCUCCUCCCAAAGCGUAACGGAGGAGCACGAAGGUUAGCUAAUCCUGGUCGGACAUCAGGAGGUUAGUGCAAUGGCAUAAGCUAGCUUGACUGCGAGCGUGACGGCGCGAGCAGGUGCGAAAGCAGGUCAUAGUGAUCCGGUGGUUCUGAAUGGAAGGGCCAUCGCUCAACGGAUAAAAGGUACUCCGGGGAUAACAGGCUGAUACCGCCCAAGAGUUCAUAUCGACGGCGGUGUUUGGCACCUCGAUGUCGGCUCAUCACAUCCUGGGGCUGAAGUAGGUCCCAAGGGUAUGGCUGUUCGCCAUUUAAAGUGGUACGCGAGCUGGGUUUAGAACGUCGUGAGACAGUUCGGUCCCUAUCUGCCGUGGGCGCUGGAGAAUUGAGGGGGGCUGCUCCUAGUACGAGAGGACCGGAGUGGACGCAUCACUGGUGUUCGGGUUGUCAUGCCAAUGGCACUGCCCGGUAGCUAAAUGCGGAAGAGAUAAGUGCUGAAAGCAUCUAAGCACGAAACUUGCCCCGAGAUGAGUUCUCCCUGAGACUUUAAGUCUCCUGAAGGAACGUUGAAGACGACGACGUUGAUAGGCCGGGUGUGUAAGCGCAGCGAUGCGUUGAGCUAACCGGUACUAAUGAACCGUGAGGCUUAACCUU